ACACUCCCCAGCACCGUUCUCUCUAUCUUUCUCUCUUCAACCCUCAACGUCGCUCGACCGAGAGCCACAAAGGCUCGCUCUACGCCGACCACCACCGAUUGGUGGCCGUUAUACCCCCGAUUAUCUUCUCAAAUCAACCACAAAACCCACACCAAACUUAUAUAACCCCCAAAUUACCCUAGAAACUGCCUAGUGAGAUCCAAAUCGACCCAAACAGCCUCAACACCACGUGCGAGCCUGAACUCAAAGGAAAAUGACCCUUCCACACUCAAAACAGCCUGAAAAUGGAUACCUUUAAGGAAUCCACAGUGACCCAACCUCAGGCGACGACUGUAAUCCUCUUCUGAUGGAAAAGGGUAUGGGCAUGAGCUGUUGGUGGUGUUUUCUCGGGGUGCCGAGCCUUGUCUGUCGCGCUUCACGUGGGUGGAUGGUAAGCCGGGGUUGGAAAUGGUGAAGGCACGGGCACGAGUUGGAAAUGGUGAGCUCGUGGUGGUUUCUGCUGGGGGUUGUUCCUGGCCUCACGUGAUGUUUCAACCAGGUUCGCUUGGGCCUGCUCUGCUUUGCGGGCUCGGGUUUUAGGCUUGUCUUGAACUUGUAAUAAUUUGGCUUGUAAUUGGACUGUAAUUAUUUGUAGUCUAUUUUGGGCUUUGUAAGAUAUAAAUGGACCUUAGACACUUAAUUUAUAUUGAACUUCAA